UCAUCCGUCAGUUUUCAUUGGUCUCAGUGGUAGGACACUAACAGGCUGUAAAAACAAAUGAAUGACACACUUUCUUUUUUUUUGUUUUGUUUUUAUUACGAGAUUAUAGAGACGCAGUUUUCAUUGAGUUUUUUUUUUAAUUAGUUCGUCAAUAGUCCAAACAAAAACAUUGGAUGUCAGAAAUAGUUUUUCUUUCAUUAUGAUGACAACAUGGUGGAUUAAAUUUGUGAUAUUGACAAAGUUUUACCUACUGUCUGUCACCUCUGAGGUAAUCGUCACCUGUCAGAAUAUAACUAUUACAUUUGUUGAUUCAAAACUGACUAAAGACACCUCAUGUUCUAGCUGCGUGACGACACAAGAGACUAGAGAUUGUCUGUCUAUGAGCGUGUACAGUCAGGAACAACUGAUUAUUAAUGGAAGUGUGAAUUGGACUUUCCUUGAUAUUGAUGCUAGAAGUUCGUGUUCUGUUCACAUUGCUGACAUAAGUCAACGGACAUACUUCAAGACUUGUAACGUAACUUUCUAUUCUAGAAGUGAUGUCAAAAGUUUCCUCUGUCAAGUCUCACAAAUAAAAUACAGAUACAAUAGAGAGAAUGUGAGCAGGUUUCAAGUUUAUAUCAACACAUCAGUUUGUGCCUUCAG
rnacentral:sRNA from 1 species